AGGUUGAAUGACAGUUUCUUGAAAAGUAGAUUUGGGGGAAAUUAAGUUGUAGGUAGGAAAGAAUACUUUCUUAAGAGAGAUUGCUCCAGAUGUCCUAUGGAAGGUAGCUGUGGGUUAAGAGAGAUUGUUCUAGAUGUGGCUGUGGGCCUCCAAGUGACCAUGUACAGGAACCCAGCUGGGCUUCUGGCAACUUCACAAGCAGUUGAGUGAAUUUACCUCAUGUUUGCCCAAAUCAUGCCAUCUUUAGGCUGGUCAUAAUUUGUUUAAUUCAUAGUAAGAUUUCUCAGAAAGAUAACCUUACAAGAUCAGUAUCUGAUUAGCUGACCAAAAAUGCAUCAAAAGGAAUUAUGGCCAAAAAAAUUAAAUGUCUAUGGCUUCCUUUUUAAAUGUAUCUAGGUUACAAAGAGAAACGUGGUAUCAAGUGCAUUAGUGCAAAGUUACAAAGUCACAUUUGCUGCGGUUUGGGGGGGCGGCAGUCUUCCCUUAAAUGUCAGAACCCCUCAUGUGGAUUUGUCUUUUGGAGAGGCAGACCUUUUUCCAGUUUGGGAACAGACGAGCAUAGUCUCACACCACAGCACGUUAGUCAGAGGAAGCUCAGGACAGGCUGUGCAUGGGUUAGACGGUACUGGGUCAUUGCUGCUGUGGCAAAAGCACUUAUUCUUCCUUCAUGACAGUGAGCCAGGUUGGCUACAGGGGUAUAUGCUUUCUCCUUACGGAGAAUGAAAACGAAUCUCAUGUAUCGCACAUCAGCUACAAUCAUACUCUAUGCCCUGCAAUAGAACAUACUAAUUAAUGUAUUAGGGUUUUGUUUUUUUAAUUAGAGACUUUUAUAGACUUUAUGGAAUACUUCUACAAAUUGGUUUAUCCUUGAAGGAAAGUUUUUUAAAAUUUAUUUAUAACCCACUUGUCUGAGGGAAAUGUCUUUGUUGUCUGUUUUGUUACAGUGUUGACUCCAAUAAUUUCUUUAUUCUAAUCUUUGGCCUACUUUAAUUUUUUCUCCCUGAUAAAUUUGUAGAAAUAUUUAUCCAGCAGUUCACCCUCUCUAUACCUUUGUUGGGCCUUAGUCUUAAUAGAAGAUAGACAGUCUUAUCAAUAUAUUUUGUUCUCCUUGAGAUAAGAGCCUCACACAAUGCCAGGCUGGUCUCUAAUAAUUCACUGUGUAGCCAAAGAUAGCCAAAGGAAUUUUGAUCUCCUGCCUCCUUCUCCCGAAUGCUGAGAUUACAGGCGUGCACCACCACACCUGGUUUUGUGUGGCACUGGAGACAGAAUCUAGGGCUCAGUGUGUGCUCUGCAAGCACUCUACCAAGUGAGCUACACUCCCAGCCCUCAUGAGUAUGCCUUUGCAGCAUACUGUGUGCUUCAAAUACACUACCCAGAGAAAAUAUCUAGGAUGCAUUCACAAAUAACAUAGACCAUUGGCCUGCAGUUUUCUGGAAAAGCUGCAAGGAUAUCACCUUGUCUGCUCCUAGUAAUAGUAAGCAGUCCAAAUGAGGGCCCAGCACUGCUGAAUAAGCAGAGGUCAUGUUCUCCACGUGGCUCAUUCUCUUGCUUGCGUGUGUAAAUCACAUCAACUCACUACCAACUGUCCUCUGUGGGAACGUAGUUCACUCACCCUGUUCUGUCAGGGAAGACAGUGGGAGUAGGUGAAGUCUACGUCCCAAGGGUGAGGUUGGUUAAUUUUCACAUGUAUGAAAGAGAAACCAAUACACAGAAUUAUUUACUUAGCUCUUUAACAGGAUGUAUUAAAAAAAAAAAGGCUGUUUUUUUGAGCUAGAGUUUUGCUUGGUGUAAGAUCUUCAUUGGCAUAGGUAUGGGUGAUUGCAAGACAUCCAACAAAGGACUAUAGAGUUGUAUUAUUUGGAAGAUUUCUAAACACUGAGACUUAUCUACCUGUUAUUUUUCUUUUGGGUCUCAUUUUUUAUUCGUGCAGUAUUUUCAGGCACAUCGACUACUGCUCACUAUAUUUAUAUAGAUGUUAGGGAACUUUCUAAGCAUUUUAGUAAGUAAAAAUCUGAGUAUGAAAGAAAAUAUCAGAUACGCACUUUAAAUGAGCUUAAUUGCUUGGAGUCGUGCCUGAAAUAUCAAGGUGCCUCCUCUGGGUGUGGCUUUUGUUUAGUAAAAUGAAUUUCUCUGCAGUUGUUGCUGUUUGAAGGUAGCUGUACAGCUUUUCACAGAACUGUAUCCCAGCAUGCCACUUUGCCCAUGAUCGCACUAAAUUUUCCUUGAAUGUCCAUCAUGCCUUUAAAUAUUUUACUCAGUGUAUCAAGACAACUUGAGCCUGGUAAUGUCACUUCUGAGGUUCCGUGCCAUAGAUGGUGUUCCAGAUGCAGGGGGCUUCCUGGCUUUCCACCAGAGUGGUCCUACCGGUUUCCUGAGGUUGCACUUUGGGGUCCAGUCAGACUGCAGCCCCAUCUCCACUCUCUCCAUCCUCCACAGUAGCUUCCAUGUUGCUGAGUUAGCUUGGGCAAUUACGUUUGCAUGCAUGUGCACACAGUUGAAAAUGAAGUCUAGCCGUAAUAUAAACACAUGGGAUUUGCCUUGGAGAUGAUCACCUGCUCUUUUCCUCAUUCGAAUGCUUGAGUUCUGUUUUCUGUUGGUCUUUCCACAGGUCCCUUUAACUUUCUGCUGCAGCAAUUUGAGAGGAUGUAUUUGAACAAAUGAUUAUGAGGUUCCUCUAAUUAUGUAAUUGAUUAAAGAUUGUGUCUUCACCUUGUUGAAUAAAAGCUGCCCCUUUCUUCCUGGUAGAGCAUUGCCACGAUGAGCCAGGCUGGCCUUGAGAAUCUGGUCAUGGCCGACUAAAACCAGAAACAGUAUCUGUAGUGUUCUCCCCCCAUUGAUUGUACAAUCCAGUUCAGAGUACAUAAUGUAUAUUAGAAUUUGCUUGUAAAAUGAAUUAUGGAAACCGGAUGUAAAGUCUCUUUCCUGAAAGUGUUGGCUUAGU
rnacentral:lncRNA from 1 species